rnacentral:lncRNA from 1 species
AUGACUUGUCUUCUUUGUGCUUUUACCUCAGAAGCUUCACUGAGAACUGCUUUUUCCCUAUGUCUGACUUCUAACGGACAUGACACUGCCCACGAGCUUCACAUCGGCCUAAGCAUCACGAGCAGCAGGCAGCCCUCCGCUGCACUUCUCCUCCCCCCCCUCCCCCGGGCUGAGCAGCCCGUGCCGCUCACAGCACUCAGAUCGGGAGACAGGGAGGGAGAGUGCUACCUGCCAUCUGUCAGCCUGCCAGAAAUUCCUGUGCCUAUCAGAGCAAGAGCUGAGGAUGUGACAUCUUUCUCCAUCGCCUUCUCAGAAUAUCCCUGAUUCAACACAGGAGGCCUUGAAGUGAGUUCCCCUCCAGUAAAGCAGUUUUCCAAACAAGUGUCACCCUUAGCAGACAGGUGUAAAACACAUCAACAAUAUAUAUCUGCCCCAGGGUGCAGUGAGUGAGACCCAUGUUUGGUUGUACGCCUUCCCGGGAUUGGAAGCCAGAUAGCAUUCGUUCUUAGAGUGCCCAGAUUGAACUGUAGAGAAUAAGAAUAAAUCUUCCAUGGCACAGAGAUGUCCUGCCAAGCUGAUUAGAUACCUUCUGUGUGACUAUUUUUAGUUUCUUUCUGUUCUAAAGUGGAAAAUAAGUAGCAACACUUUCUGAAAGACACAGCUUGUGUGCAUUUAGACAAUGCAGAUUAAGGUUCUUCUCUGGUGUAUAUCUGAAUUGGUGGGAAGUGCUUUAUCUGAGGUGAAUUGCUGAUGGAAAAUAGUAGAAGAAGAAGGACAAAGGGAGACUUUCAUAGAGACUUUCAAAGUAAUUUAUACUUUCAGUGGAACAUUUCAGUAGAAAGCCGCAUCCCAGACCUAUUAGUAGAGACCUAAGAAAUAAAAUUAGCAUUUUAAUUUAAUAAUGUUUGUAGCUUUGCUAGGUUUACCCCAUCCCUUGUGAAAUGAUUUCAACAGAAUUUCAGAAUUUCAUGUUAAGGACAUGCUUCUGUACUUUGUACAGAAGAGGUAAACCAAAACCUUAAGACCCCAGGGCCAACUAGUGAACUGGCUGUACUCAGAAUUAGCACAUUUUUGUCUGUUUCAUAAAACCACUGAUGUUUAACUGGAAUCAGUUUCCCAGGCGAUAGGAGCAGAUGUAGGCAGAUGGCUGAGAGGAUAUCAGAAGUGAGAGGCUUCUAGAGUGGUUCAUGCUGACAACAGGUCUGUAGAGGACAGCCCAGAGCUCUUGCAUCCACAUGCGUGUGCAGCACUGCAUGGGUGCAGGAUGGGCACUUCUGAAGGGCCUCUAGAGCUUGUGUGUGUGCUUUUGCUACCUAUUAUUAAACAGCAGUGUGAAAGAAAGCCACUUUGUGCAGCCAAACACAGCCAAUCUUGAGCAAAAGAAGCCACAAAAGAGAUUUGCACAGAUUUUGGGGCACAGUAUGUUCCAACCCUGUUAACAGGCUGGUCAGCUAUGAUUCACCCUCUGACUAGCAGAGUUGGAGUGAGUUUAGAUUCAGCAUACGUUUUAAAUACCACAGAAGAUAAAGUUAGGUUCUCACCAUUUAAAUUAUGAACAGAUAUCAUAAAGCAGAAUAUACAGGAGGCAAAGGAGCUUUAUUCAUUGAGUUGUGGAAAAAGUAGUCUACUUUAUCUGCAUUUGAGAGAAAGUUUGUUUAGAAGUAUUGAUGCUGGAUCGGAGAUUCAGGAACACACAUCCCCAGUUACGCCUCGAGAUAAAACAGGUUAGUGAACUUUGUAGUAUGAAAGUGUUACAUCAGGUCGAAGGGAAAUAAGGGUAAUAUGUUACAGAGUUAAGUGGUUACACAUAAUUAUCAGGCAUAGUCAGCCAGAAGCCAAAAAUAAAGAGUAGAGAGUAGAAUUCUUUUUCUCUAAACACAUCUUAAUAAAAGAAAGGUCAGUUUGAAUGGAGAGAGAAAGCUAAACAAAAAUAAAUUUCUUGGGCACUGACAGGAGGUGAAGAGAAUGUACAUGCUGAAUUGCAACAGGCCUCAGCCUUUCAGAAAUACAGCAGAAGGUCAUUUGAAGCCAAGCUAGAAAGAGUUAAAGGACAGUUUGCAAACCCAUUUCCCUAAUUUGAAAGUAUUUUUAUAAGCAUGCAAUCACAAAAUUAUCUAUUUAGAAGAUAAGAAUAAAUAACUGUUUAAAAGAUGAGAAUAAGAUGUUAAUAGAAUAGCAUGAACGUACUUAAUUAUUCAGAUAUUAAUUCAUAACAUUAGGAGGAAAAAUAAAAAGAUUGUAAAAAAGAAAGCAUUAUCUAAUGAAACACAGUAAAUAGAGAACCCAUAUUUAAUGCAAAUAGAAAAUACUGUGUUUAUGGAGCACUUCGAAGGGGUGACAGAAUCAUGUUGUCAUCAUAUGGCAGCUUUGGAAGCAGAAGCAGAACACACUUCAGUGGUAAAGUUCAAGUGGUCUGAGUGAAUUUGACUGAUUUCCUGUCACCAGAAGGAAUGUCUCAUCCUGAUCAGUCCAUCACUUACCCAUUCAGCUGAUGGUUUGGUGCUUGCACCAUGGCUAUAUCAUGAAAUUACGCCCAGAAGAGAGAGAGAGGUGCCAGAAAUGGCUGUUAGACUGGAAAGGGAAAUGCAGCCCCUGAAGGAUAAUUUGGCUUUCCGCCUGGGAACCACAGCCCUGUGCAUGGCCAUCAGCCCUGCUAGCUGAAAAACAGCUGAUGUGGCAAUGGAAAAGAUGGGUGCUGCAGUCUGUCAGAUCUUUCCCCCUUCUCAAGCCCUUCACUGGGUUAGAAGGAAGAUGCAGGAGCAGUCAGCCCUGGAAACUCCAGGUGGAUCUCAAUGCUAUGUACAUAGCCAUCCAUCCAGGAAGCACUGGGAAGUCUGAUCCUCCCAGGGUUUGCAAAACAUUCCAUUUACAUAGAUAGAUGUCCAAUUUCUUCCAGGAAAUAUGAGGAGAAAUUGCCUGCAGAACAUCAGAAGAAAAUCUGAAAUGAGUAGAAACGUGUUGAAUUCAGCUUAUCUGCUAAAUUAGCAUGAUAUUUUUUUCCAGGAUGUCUUAGGGGGA